AUCACUUGAUCAGUAAUGUCUAUGUGAAGGAAACAAGCUUCGCGACAUUGAUAAAUUUUCUUCCUUGAUUUGUUUCUAAAGAUGCUUCUCUAAUCUGCGACCAGGUCUACACUCGAAGUAAAAUUGUUGGACUUGGAGAGGAGAUUUGAUCUUGACAUUCCACAAUCACUUUUGGUGGUAAAAUGAUUCACGUUCUUGAUUUUAGAUGUGAUCAGUGAUUCACAUCAAGAUACGGAUGUGGAUGACCUAAUCAAUUUUGGCCGGUGAAAAAGUGAAGAUAUGUGGACUAGCUAGACACGAUUAUGACUUUGGCAAUAUCAUAUUGCGCAAAGGAUAAAGCCCUUCAAAAGGUGAUUAAAUUAUCAUAAAACCCAUAAAGAAACUAGCCGCAAAGUUUCUGCUUUGAUUUGUAUCCAUACAUCCUAAUUAAAAAGCUUCAAUAAUAAAACAUUAGUUAAGCGGUUUCUAUAUGUCACCAUAAGAUGCUUUAGGUGAACGAUUAUAUCAUUUGACCAAGUUUAGUAAAUUAUUCUACCUAACUAGGAAUACUUUGUUUAGAAAAGAAAAAUAAUCGAACAUAAU